rnacentral:rRNA from 1 species
GAUGAACGCUGGCGGCGUGCCUAAUACAUGCAAGUCGAGCGAACAGACGAGGAGCUUGCUCCUCUGACGUUAGCGGCGGACGGGUGAGUAACACGUGGAUAACCUACCUAUAAGACUGGGAUAACUUCGGGAAACCGGAGCUAAUACCGGAUAAUAUAUUGAACCGCAUGGUUCAAUAGUGAAAGACGGUUUUGCUGCCACUUAUAGAUGGAUCCGCGCCGCAUUAGCUAGUUGGUAAGGUAACGGCUUACCAAGGCAACGAUGCGUAGCCGACCUGAGAGGGUGAUCGGCCACACUGGAACUGAGACACGGUCCAGACUCCUACGGGAGGCAGCAGUGGGGAAUCUUCCGCAAUGGGCGAAAGCCUGACGGAGCAACGCCGCGUGAGUGAUGAAGGUCUUCGGAUCGUAAAACUCUGUUAUUAGGGAAGAACAAAUGUGUAAGUAACUAUGCACGUCUUGACGGUACCUAAUCAGAAAGCCACGGCUAACUACGUG